GUGCUCACUUCAGCAUCACAUAUACUAAAAUCAGAAUGAUGUAAAGAUGAUUAGUAUGGUCCCUGAACAAAGAUGCCACAUAAAUUUGUGAAGUGUUCCAUAGUUUU
ensembl:snRNA U6 U6 spliceosomal RNA